rnacentral:rRNA from 1 species
UUGCUCUUCAACGAGGAAUUCCUAGUAAGCGCAAGUCAUCAGCUUGCGUUGACUACGUCCCUGCCCUUUGUACACACCGCCCGUCGCUACUACCGAUUGAAUGGCUUAGUGAGGACUUGGGAGAGUACAUCGGGGAGCCAGCAAUGGCACCCUGACGGCUCAAACUCUUACAAACUUGGUCAUUUAGAGGAAGUAAAAGUCGUAACAAGGUAUCUGUAGGUGAACCUGCAGAUGGAUCAUUUCGAUGAAAAACCUUUUUUUUCGUGAGGUGUGGCUCGCACCUGUCUAACUAAACCGAGCUACCAUUUUCAACACGGUUGCACGGGGUAGGCCUGUCAGAUAGCGCGCGAAUUGAUUUUCGAGGCUGGACGACCGGGUCUACCAUCAACAUUAAACACUUUUUGAUGAUCUAGGAUUUGAAGGAAGUUCAUUUUACGAUGGAACCGACUGGUAAUGCGGUCGUCUAAAUCUAAAAAAUAACUUUUGGCAACGGAUCUCUUGGUUCUCCCAUCGAUGAAGAACGCAGCGAAUUGCGAUAAGUAAUGUGAAUUGCAGAAGUGAAUCAUCGAAUCUUUGAACGCACCUUGCGCUCCCGGCAGAUCUAAUCUGGGGAGCAUGCCUGUUUGAGGGCCGCGAAUUGUUUCGAACGGACGCUUUUUUUUUCUUUUGGGAAAAAGGUGGACGGAUCGGUAGUGAGGAUUUUUGCCAUUCACCGUGGCUUCCUCGAAAAGCAUGAGCGCAUCCAUUNNUAGGCGAGACGGACGAAAGCUUGUAUUUUCUCGCUCUGUUCUUUCCUGCCGGGUUUUGAUAAUAUCGAAGCUUCGGAGGUCAAAGACAGGGUUCGGAGCUGGACGCAACGACUCGCUGGUUGGAGUGCUUCUAACCCCGCCCAUGCCUGCAAAGGAAGGGAUUUUAAUUUGAUUCAUCGGCCUCAGAUUGGUAGGACUACCCGCUGAACUUAAGCAUAUCAAUAAGCGGAGGA